AGAAAACAGACGGAAUAGUUAUGGGAGGAGUUAUGCAAAUGAGAAAUUUGGUUUCUUUAACUUUAUUUUAAGGUCAUAAAUAUUUUUUUCUUUGA